AGUGAACGCUGGCGGUAGGCCUAACACAUGCAAGUCGAACGGCAGCACAGUAAGAGCUUGCUCUUACGGGUGGCGAGUGGCGGACGGGUGAGGAGUACAUCGGAAUCUACUUUUUCGUGGGGGAUAACGUAGGGAAACUUACGCUAAUACCGCAUACGACCUACGGGUGAAAGCAGGGGAUCUUCGGACCUUGCGCGAUUGAAUGAGCCGAUGUCGGAUUAGCUAGUUGGCGGGGUAAAGGCCCACCAAGGCGACGAUCCGUAGCUGGUCUGAGAGGAUGAUCAGCCACACUGGAACUGAGACACGGUCCAGACUACUACGGGAGGCAGCAGUGGGGAAUAUUGGACAAUGGGCGCAAGCCUGAUCCAGCCAUACCGCGUGGGUGAAGAAGGCCUUCGGGUUGUAAAGCCCUUUUGUUGGGAAAGAAAAGCAGCAGGUUAAUACCCCGCUGUUCUGACGGUACCCAAAGAAUAAGCACCGGCUAACUUCGUG
rnacentral:rRNA from 1 species